GAUGAACGCUGGCGGCGUGCCUAAUACAUGCGAGUCGAGCGAACAGAUGAGGAGCUUGCUCCUCUGACGUUAGCGGCGGACGGGUGAGUAACACGUGGAUAACCUACCUAUAAGACUGGGAUAACUUCGGGAAACCGGAGCUAAUACCGGAUAAUAUAUUGAACCGCAUGGUUCAAUAGUGAAAGACGGUUUUGCUGUCACUUAUAGAUGGAUCCGCGCCGCAUUAGCUAGUUGGUAAGGUAACGGCUUACCAAGGCAACGAUGCGUAGCCGACCUGAGAGGGUGAUCGGCCACACUGGAACUGAGACACGGUCCAGACUCCUACGGGAGGCAGCAGUAGGGAAUCUGCCGCAAUGGGCGAAAGCCUGACGGAGCAACGCCGCGUGAGUGAUGAAGGUCUUCGGAUCGUAAAACUCUGUUAUUAGGGAAGAACAAAUGUGUAAGUAACUAUGCACGUCUUGACGGUACCUAAUCAGAAAGCCACGGCUAACUAC
rnacentral:rRNA from 1 species